rnacentral:rRNA from 1 species
AGGGCAUAGGGUGAAUGCCUUGGCAUCGGAAGCCGAAGAAGGACGGGGUAAGCGCCGAAAUGCUUCGGGGAGUCGCAAACAGACUUAGAUCCGGAGAUAUCCGAAUGGGGGAACCCGCCUGAGCAAACCUCAGGCAUCAUGCACUGAAUAAAUAGGUGAAUGAAGGGAGACUGGGGGAACUGAAACAUCUAAGUACCCCAAGGAAGAGAAAGAAAAAUCGAUUUUCAGAGUAGCGGCGAGCGAAAAGGAAAGAGCCCAAACCGGAGGGUUAAACCUUCGGGGUUGAGGACACAACAUAAGGAGAGAAGAAAAGCAGCCGAAGGGACUGGGAAGUUCCGCCAGAGAAGGUGAAAGCCCUGUAGGCGAAACAAAGAAACUCGACAGUUGUGAACCAGAGUACCACAGGACACGAGAAAUCCGGUGGGAAGCAGGGAGGACCACCUCCCAAGGCUAAAUACUAACCGAUGACCGAUAGAGGAAUAGUACCGUGAGGGAAAGGCGAAAAGAACCCCGGGAGGGGAGUGAAAAAGAACCUGAAACCCUAUGCCUACAAGCAGUAGGAGCACUAUUAGAAAGUGUGACUGCGUACUUUUUGUAGAACGGGCCAGCGAGUUACGAUAUGCAGCAAGGUUAAGCAGUGAAGCUGCGGAGCCGUAGGGAAACCGAGUCUGAAUAGGGCGAAAGUUGCAUAUAGUAGACCCGAAACCGGGUGAGCUACCCAUGGUCAGAGUGAAAGGGAAGUAAAAUUUCGUGGAGGCUCGAACCGAUUAGUGUUUAAAAACUAUCGGAUGAACUGUGGGUAGGGGUGAAAUGCCAAACGAACCCGGAGAUAGCUGGUUCUCCUCGAAAUAGCUUUAGGGCUAGCCUUAUGGAAAGUGAGAUGGAGGUAGAGCACUGAAUGGUAAAGGGGCACAAAGUGUUACCAAAACCUAUCAAACUGCGAAUGCCAUACUCAUAGAAAUAGGAGUCAGACUGCGGGAGAUAAGUUUCGUAGUCAAAAGGGAAAGAGCCCAGAUCACCAGCUAAGGUCCCAAAGUGCAGGUUAAGUGGCAAAGGAUGUGAAGUUACGGAGACAACCAGGAUGUUGGCUUAGAAGCAGCCAUACAUUUAAAGAGUGCGUAAUAGCUCACUGGUCAAGUGACGUUGCGCCGAAGAUUUCCGGGGCUAAACCUGACACCGAAGCUGUGGGAUAGAAAUAUCGGUAGAGGAGCAAUCUGUGAGGAAGAAGCUAUACCGAAAGGAGUAGUGGACGAAACAGAAGAGAGAAUGCUGGCAUGAGUAGCGAAAAGGCAAGUGAGAAACUUGCCCGUCGAAAGCCUAAGGGUUCCUGAGGAAGGCUCGUCCGCUCAGGGUAAGUCGGGACCUAAGCCGAGGCCGAAAGGCGUAGGCGAUGGACAACAGGUUGAGAAUCCUGUACCAAGAAUAUGCGUUAGAGAGAGGUGCUGACGCAGGAGGAUAAGAUGAGCACACAGAUGGAAAAGUGUGUCUAAGCCUGAAGUAAGCUUUCAUAGGGAAAACCGUGAAAGAGUUAUGAGAGGUGAUGGGGAGCGAAAAAAGAAGUAGCGAAGCAUCCGAAUCCAAACUGCCAAGAAAAGGCACUAUCGAGUAUAUGAUUGCCCGUACCGGAAACCGACACAGGUAGGCGAGGAGAGAAUCCUAAGACGCACGGAAGAACCCUUGUUAAGGAACUCGGCAAAAUAGCCCCGUAACUUCGGGAGAAGGGGUGCCGGAAGAAGAGAAGGCCAAACGGCUGGGAAAUAAUCCGGCCGCAGUGAAAGGGCCCAAGCGACUGUUUACCAAAAACACAGGUCUCUGCGAAGUCGAAAGACGAAGUAUAGGGGCUGACACCUGCCCGGUGCUGGAAGGUUAAGGGGAAGAGUAAGGAGAAAGUCCGAAGCUUAGAACUUAAGCCCCAGUAAACGGCGGCCGUAACUAUAACGGUCCUAAGGUAGCGAAAUUCCUUGUCGGGUAAGUUCCGACCCGCACGAAAGGUGUAACGACUUGGGCACUGUCUCAACAAGGGAUCCGGUGAAAUUGUAGUACACGUGAAGAUGCGUGUUACCUGCGACAGGACGGAAAGACCCCAUGGAGCUUAACUGUAGGCUGACAUUGGAUUUUGAUAUCAUAUGUACAGAAUAGGUGGGAGGCAGAGAAGUAAGUGCGCCAGCAUUUAUGGAGUCAAAAGUGGGAUACCACUCUUAUGAUAUUGAAAUUCUAACCAAGUACUGUGAAGCCAGUACAGGGACACUGUCAGUUGGGCAGUUUGACUGGGGCGGUCACCUCCCAAAGAGUAACGGAGGUGCUCAAAGGUUCCCUCAGUACGGUUGGAAAUCGUACGAAGAGUGUAAAGGCAGAAGGGAGCUUAACUGCGACACAUACAGGUGGAGCAGGAAGGAAACUUGGACUUAGUGAUCCGGUGGCACCGAGUGGAAAGGCCAUCGCUCAACGGAUAAAAGCUACCCUGGGGAUAACAGGCUUAUCUCCCC